UACGUAGGGUGCAAGCGUUGUCCGGAAUUAUUGGGCGUAAAGAGCUCGUAGGCGGUUUGUCGCGUCUGCUGUGAAAACUCGGGGCUUAACCCCGGGCCUGCAGUGGGUACGGGCAGACUAGAGUGCGGUAGGGGAGACUGGAAUUCCUGGUGUAGCGGUGAAAUGCGCAGAUAUCAGGAGGAACACCGGUGGCGAAGGCGGGUCACUGGCGGCGACUGACGCUGAGGAGCGAAAGCGUGGGGAGCAAACAGG
rnacentral:rRNA from 1 species